rnacentral:rRNA from 1 species
UUGAAAGGGAAACGAUUGAAGUCAGUCGUACCGGUGGGUAAUCAGCCUUUCGGCGUGAUUAUGUGGAGCGUGAGGAGUUAAACGCCCUCAUGCCUGCAUAUUCGUGUUCUUUGGGUGUACUUACCCGCAUGGUAGGUUAACAUCAAUUUCGAACGUCAUAAAAUGGUUGGAGGAAUGUAGCUUCGAUCUCGUAUUGAAGUGUUAUAGCCUUCGGCAGAUGUGAUGAUCGGGAUUGAGGAUUGCAACGGAUACCCCUCGGGCUACCCGUCUGAUCUCUGAAAGUUACUCUGGUGCCGAAAGCUCGCUUACGGUCAUCAAAGUUGACGUUCAACAGAUUAGAACGGGAUAAAUUCGUUAAGGAUGUUGACGUA